GACGAACGCUGGCGGCGUGCUUAACACAUGCAAGUCGAACGGAAAGGCCCUGCUUUUGUGGGGUGCUCGAGUGGCGAACGGGUGAGUAACACGUGAGUAACCUGCCCUUGACUUUGGGAUAACUUCAGGAAACUGGGGCUAAUACCGGAUAGGAGCUCCUGCUGCAUGGUGGGGGUUGGAAAGUUUCGGCGGUUGGGGAUGGACUCGCGGCUUAUCAGCUUGUUGGUGGGGUAGUGGCUUACCAAGGCUUUGACGGGUAGCCGGCCUGAGAGGGUGACCGGCCACAUUGGGACUGCGGGACGGCCCAGACUCCUACGUGAGGCAGCAGUGGGGAAUAUUGCACAAUGGGCGGAAGCCUGAUGCAGCAACGCCGCGUGCGGGAUGCCGGCCUUCGGGUUGUAAACCGCUUUCGCCUGUGACGAAGCGUGAGUGACGGUACUGGGUAAAGAAGCACCGGCUAACUACGUG
rnacentral:rRNA from 1 species